rnacentral:rRNA from 1 species
UACGUAGGGGGCUAGCGUUGUCCGGAAUCAUUGGGCGUAAAGAGCGCGUAGGCGGCCAGAUAAGUCCGGUGUGAAAGUCAAAGGCUCAACCUUUGAAUGCCGCUGGAAACUGUCUGGCUAGAGUCCGGGAGGGGCGAGUGGAAUUCCUGGUGUAGCGGUGAAAUGCGUAGAUAUCAGGAGGAACACCAAUGGCGAAGGCAGCUCGCUGGGACGGUACUGACGCUGAGGCGCGAAAGCGUGGGGAGCAAACAGG